AUGGUCAAUGUACAUAUGUAUAUGAACACAUUUGUAUGUGUAUAUAUAUGUAUCUACUUCUUUCAAAAUGAGAAAAAUAGGAGAAAGCUGUGAUUUGGCUCUCUUAUUCGUCAAACACGCUUCGUUAGUCGACAUUGGUACUCACGGCGAAUUAAAAAAGAUCAAUGCUUCUCGUCCCUAUCAAAUACUUUGUGUGUGUGUGCGUGUUUGUACAUACGAGUGUUCGUUUACGAACCUUCAUACUUCGACUAUAAUAAGAAGGGUAAUUAACGAAUCGUAUUGGCUUAUCUUCUACAAUUAUUUCAUCUACAUACAUACAUAUAUAUAUAUACAUACAUAGAUAUAUAUAUACACAUAUACGUACACGUAUGUAAUAUUUACGUAUAUAGAUUUUAUGUACAAGUGCAUUCAACAUGGGUAGUAUGAGUCAGAGAAAAUUAUUUUAUAAAAGGAGAGAAGAUGCAAAAGAAAAAAUCGAUUUUACUCGGAUUAAAGUUGUUCAAUAUUAAAGGGCACUCUUCUACGAUUAUGAUUACUCGCAUGAUAUAUGUCAAUAAUUAUGAAAACUACAUUUAAAUGAAAAAUGUGAGAAAAAAUUGAAUUUAUCACUUAUUAUGAAUGUAUGCUACUGAUUUACAAUUAGACCAUUUUCAUAAUCACUGGCUCAUUUAUCUUUGAGAGAGAAAGAUUGAAGGAAAGAAAAUAUGGAAAAGUCACGUUUAAAUACUAACUCACAGUAUUACGAUAUCUCUUGAUGUAUAGUAAUGCGGUCACAUAUUCAGUUUGUUUAUUACGACUCGCGUGUCGACUUGUGCUCGCAGUAUACAUUACGAUAUGUAGCAAUAUAUGCGUAUGCAUGCAUCCAUGCUAAGUUGAACGCGUGUAAUAUGGAUCGGUUAAAUGCAGGCAUGUCAAACGCACGAUCCUGUAAAGUAUCCAGGCACAUCGAUUAAAUAGACAUUUUUCAAGAUACUACAAAGUAUUCAACAGAUGUGUUGCAGGUGAAUCAUGAAAGUAGGCUAUAUAACGUAUCUUUCUUUAUUUUUUUUUAUUUCAUAUAAUGAUUAGACUUUCUAAAUAAUUGGAAGGAUAUAAAAGGAAGUGGGUAAAAUAUAUUAUUAAUUCGUUUAAGCUACUUUCAUGAUCGUAAAAACGUGCAUUAAACUACACGUCUAAUUUCACAUCAAAUUUAUCUCUUUUACAUGAUAUACACGGUACAAUAAUUUAACAUAUAUUUCAUAAUUUCACUACAAUUGAUAAUGUGGAAAUUCGUCCUGGUUUUGACUUCAUGAAUCAAAGUAAGUUUGACGUGAUUGUAUUAAUCUAAUGAAAGAGGAAGAGCUAACGCUGAAAGUGACGAGUCAAUUAAAUCUCUGGCGAGGAUUUCAAUCGAUCCGAAGGAGCAUGAUGAUGACAUUGCGUGCAAACGAUACUUUGCUCCAAGAUAACACAUUGCGAGAAUAUUACGAAAAAACGUCAAGAAACAAUGAUGGCAAUGAUAUAUGAAUUUCUAAAUGGAAUUUGGCCUUGACAGAACGAUAUGUGCUCUUUAGAAUUGCCCGGAAGAAGACGAGACUUUGGAUACCCAAUUUGCCCCAAUAACGAUGCGUUGAAGUAUUUUAUGAGACAGAGAAAGAGAAAGAAGGAUAGAUAGAUAGAGAGAAAGAGAGAGAAAGAGAGAGAAAGAAAAGAAAAAAGAAAGUUGAGACGGAAUUGACACGAACACUAUGAGAUAAGGGGAAGAGAGAGAGAGAGAGAGAGAGAGUUAAGACGCAUCAUAUAUAAAACGACCGCGAAAUAUGAAAACGAAAGUAGAAUGGCUCUCUGAAACAUUGAAGACUGCAAUAAUAAUUACUCUGGCCUAUUAAAAUACGAUAUGAAUACGUUGCUCGAUAAGCGCAACGUUAUAUAGAUGAUGAUCACAGUGAAUCCGUUAAUAGUAAGUGUGCCUGUUUCAAUGCGUGCGUGCAAAUGUCUUUGAUCGUGUCCGCCGUAGCUCGUGACGAGACAGACGCCAUCAUGUACGAAAUAAAUAUGGCGCCGUAUGCAAAAGACGUAACGAAUUUCAAAUCGCGUGUACGUACACGUUACGGCGGACGAGCAUCUAAAGAGUAUAAUGUCUUGUUAAAAAAAGGGGGGAAAAAAAGAAAUACUAUUUACCCGUAUUGUAUUCUGGUUAUCUCUAAUUACGAUCAGUAAAAAUUAUUCUAAAGAAGA